rnacentral:rRNA from 1 species
CCUACGGGAGGCUGCAGUAGGGAAUCUUCCACAAUGGGCGAAAGCCUGAAGGAGCAACGCCGCGUGGGUGAAGAAGGUCUUCGGAUCGUAAAACCCUGUUGUUAGAGAAGAAAGUGCGUGAGAGUAACUGUUCACGUUUCGACGGUAUCUAACCAGAAAGCCACGGCUAACUACGUGACAGCAGCCGCGGUAAUACGUAGGUGGCAAGCGUUAUCCGGUUUUAUUGGGCGUAAAGGGAACGCAGGCGGUCUUUUAAGUCUGAUGUGAAAGCCUUCGGCUUAACCGGAGUAGUGCAUUGGAUACUGUGAGACUUGAGUGCAGAAGAGGAAAGGGGAACUCCAUGUGUAGCGGUGAAAUGCUUAGAGAUAUGGAAGAACACCAGUGGCGAAGGCGGCUCUCUGGUCUGUUUCUGACGCUGAGGUUCGAAAGCGUGGGUAGCAAACAGGAGUAGAUACCCGUGUAGUC